rnacentral:rRNA from 1 species
AGUGAACGCUGGCGGCAGGCCUAACAUAUGCAAGUCGAACGGUAACAGGGAGCAGGUUGCUGCUUUGCUGAGGAGUGGCGGGCGGGGGAGUGAUAUCCGGGAAACUGUAUGAUGGAGGGGGGUAAAUACUGGAAAAGGUAGCGAAUACCGCAUAACGUCGCAAGAGCAAAGAGGGGGACCUUCUGGCCCCUUGCCAUCGGAUGUGCCCAGAUGGGAUUAGCUAGUAGGUGGGGUAACGGCUCACCUAGGCGACGAUCCCUAGCUGGUCUGAGAGGAUGACCAGCCACACUGGAACUGAGACACGGUCCAGACUCCUACGGGAGGCAGCAGUGGGGAAUAUUGCACAAUGGGCGCAAGCCUGAUGCAGCCAUGCCGCGUGUAUGAAGAAGGCCUUCGGGUUGUAAAGUACUUUCAGCGGGGAGGAAGGGAGUAAAGUUAAUACCUUUGCUCAUUGACGUUACCCGCAGAAGAAGCACCGGCUAACUCCGUG